UUAGGAUUUGAUUAGGAUUUGUUUAGGAUUUAGGAUUUGAUUUAAAAUUUGAUUAGAAUUUAGUUAGGAUUUAGAAUUUUAUUAGGAUUUGAUUAAGAUUUAAAAUUUGAUUAGAAUCGAUUUCAAAUUUAAUUUAAAGUUUUGAUUAAGGUUUCACUAAGGUUGAUCUAGGAUUUAAGAUUUGGUUAAGAUUUAAGAUUUCAUUAAGUUUUUAGUAGGAUUUUAUUAGGAUUUGAGUUAAAAAUUGAUUAAGAUUCAUUAGGAUUUUAAUUAGAAUUUAAUUAAAAUUUGGCCUAGGAUUUUAU
rnacentral:lncRNA from 1 species